GAGACCCGGGAGCCAGUCCGGGCCUCCGAGGCGAAGAUGGUGGACUACAGCGUUUGGGAUCACAUCGAGGUGUCGGACGAUGAGGACGAGACGCACCCCAACAUAGACACGGCCAGCCUGUUCCGCUGGCGGCACCAGGCCCGGGUGGAACGCAUGGAACAGUUUCAGAAGGAGAAAGAAGAACUGGACCGGGGCUGCCGGGAAUGCAAGCGCAAGGUAGCCGAGUGCCAGCGCAAGCUGAAGGAACUGGAAGUGGCUGAGGGUGGUGGCCAGGUGGAGCUUGAGCGGCUUCGAGCGGAGGCACAGCAGCUGCGCAAGGAGGAGCGAAGCUGGGAGCAGAAGCUGGAGGACAUGCGCAAAAAGGAGAAGAACAUGCCCUGGAAUGUGGACACACUCAGCAAAGAUGGCUUCAGCAAGGCCCGCGGCCAUGCCUCCGCCACCUUGAUGCACUUAGCGACGCCACCGCCUCCGAUGUGGACAGGAUGGGCGCGGCGGCCACGGCCCCCAAACCCCAGGCGCACCCCUGCCUUGCCCCAGCCCACUUGCCCUCUCGCCCUGUC
rnacentral:lncRNA from 1 species